rnacentral:rRNA from 1 species
UACAGAGGUCUCAAGCGUUGUUCGGAUUCAUUGGGCGUAAAGGGUGUGUAGGUGGCGCCGUAAGUCGGGUGUGAAAUUUCGGAGCUUAACUCCGAAACUGCAUUCGAUACUGCGGUGCUUGAGGACUGGAGAGGAGACUGGAAUUCAUGGUGUAGCAGUGAAAUGCGUAGAGAUCAUGAGGAAGACCAGUGGCGAAGGCGGGUCUCUGGAACGCAACUGACGCUGAGACGCGAAAGCGUGGGGAGCAAACAGG